GAUGAACGCUGGCGGCGUGCCUAAUACAUGCAAGUCGAGCGAACAGACGAGGAGCUUUCUCCUCUGACUUUAUCGGCGGACGGGUGAGGAACACGUGUAUAACCUACCUAUAAGACUGGGAUAACUUCGGGAAACCGUAUCUAAUACCGAAUAAUAUAUUGAACCUCAUUGGUCAAUAGUUAAAUACGGUUUUUCUUUCACUUAUAGAUUGAUCCGCGCCUCAUUAAUUAGUUGGUAAGGUAACGGCUUAGCAAGACGACGAUGGGUAGCCGACCUGAGAGCGUGAUUGCAUAGCUUGGCUGUGAGACACGGCCCAGACUCUUGCAGUGGGACGCAGCAGGGAAUCUUACGGAAUGGGGCAAAGGCUGACGGAGCAACGUGGCGUGAGUCCUGAACGUCUUAGGCUCGUAAAACUAUGUAAUUAGGGAAGAAGAAAAGUGCAAGUACCUAUGAUGGUAAUGACGGUACCUAGUGAGUAAGCUACGGCUAACUCCGUG
rnacentral:rRNA from 1 species